rnacentral:lncRNA from 1 species
CUCGCCGCUCCAUAUUCUCUUCUUCUCACUCAGGUAAACCCAUCAAAUUCAAUAUUACCUUGCAAAACUCUCGUCCCUUACUACUUGAUUUACAUCAUUGGUUUCUCUGUUAUCAUUUUUUUUAUUGCUAUCAAUUGCUUCUUAUUCAUCAUGGAUUAAGCCUAUUAUUAUGAUUAUUAUUUUAUUGCUAUCAAUUGCUUUUGAUUCUUCAUCGUCACCUAUUAUUGUUACUUUCUUAAUUGCUAUGUCAACAAGUCUGUGAUUUUAGAAAACAACAGGUGUUCUAGGAAAAAAUACAUGGUGUUGGGUGUUGCUGUGUUUCGUUUUGUUCUGUUCCUUGUUGUAAGGCGGUUGCUGUGCACGUUUUUUUUUGUGGGUUGUUUUUGUGUUAUUGGUGUGGUGUUAGCUAUGAAGCACGGACACAACACUGAUAAUAAUUUGAGAAAUUGACAUAAUUAAGUGUAAUUAUAACUGUUGGUGUCAUGUCGGUCACUGCUAAUCUGAAAAGUGUCUGUGCUUCAUAGGGUGUUAGUGGUCUACUCGGAGAAAAAACUUAGUAACAUAAUCAUGGAAUGAAUGGCUUGUUAGACACAUGAGUUGAUUGUUUUAUUAUUAGUUAAUUUAUUUACAAUAUUAACAAUGAAUUAGACUACUUUUUAUUAUGUAAUGCCUACUUAUUUGAGACUUGGUUGUUCCUAUUUUUUCUAGGUUGAAAUGGUGAUUUGUUUUAGUAUUGUUUGUUUGGAAAUUGAAAUUUUUUCAUGUAUGAUUUGUUCCCAUUUUUUUGAGUUGAAACUAAGUCAACACAUAUUUUUUAUUUAUUUAUAAUUUGAUUAUACAAUAGGAAUGAAAUCUAAGAUCAACAUGUAACAAAGAAACAAGCAAAAGAGAGAUAUAGUAGACCAUGGUUUGACAUUGGAGGCUGAAGUCUUUCUUGAUAUACUUAUUGAAGCUAUGAACAAAGGUCAAAGAUGUGAGAAUGGACAAUUCAAAGCACACACUUUAUCCAGUUACUUAAUAUAUUAUUUGUGCUAUGUAAUAUAAUCCCCUCACUCAACCAACCGGCUCUUCCUCUUCCUCCCACCCACGAAAACCCUAACAACUCAUUUUCAUUUUAAUUUCCCACAAAAACCCAUAAAUUGAUGUGAGGAUUCGAUUCAAGCUCUCUGCUGGUUCUGAUCGAACCAUCUUCUUAACAAAACCUCAUGUUUCACUUAUUUUCUUCUUUCUCCUUUUCUUUUAACCCAUUUAGUUAUCUAGUUUCUGGUGUUAUUACUUUGGUUUUUUCUCUGUGAGGAUUCUUGAAGCUCUCUUAUGGUGAUUGAACCCACAAAUUGUACAAUGAUUGAAACCUCUUCUUAACAAAGCUAAGGUUUCACUUCUUUGUUCUUUCACACGCAUUGUAUUAUGAUAUGCUUCAUUUUUUUCUCCUUUUCAUUUUUUC